ACAACAAAAACAAAUAUAUUAAAAAUACUUGUUAUAUUAAAAAUGCUUGAUUGUUGGACAUGGGUAACGAGAAUUUUAGAGAUAUCUGUACCACGAUCCCAACAUUAUUUUUCAGCAAUAGACCUACUCUGCCUCCUUUAGAAUUUGACGACCCAUCAACUAACACCGUCCAUUCUUGAGUCUUUCCUUCGUCCGGCACUGCCAUUUCUGCUAUGAAGUCGGUCGACGCUUGGGCUUUGAGUGCCUUUCUUGAUUCGAAGGUGAUAUCAAAUUCGGAUAGUUCUAUUGACCAUUUGGUUAUCCUCCUAAAUAGAUCGGGCCGAAACAAGAUCUACUUUAUGGGCAAAUUCGUGUGCAUCUUAAUCAGAUGGACGAGGAAAUACUGUCUUAGUCUCCCGGCUGCCAUCAUCAACACUAGUGCCACUUUCUAGAUUUUCUGAUAACGAAUCUCUAGUCCUUGUAGAGCUUUACUGACAAAGUAUACUAGUUGUUGCUCUUUGUCUAUUUUUCUGAUUAAUACAACACUUAUGGCUAGAUAGAUGAAUUAAGUUUCCCCCGGGUCUGGACGAGCCAAAAAAGGUGGCUGCGAUAGCGCGGUCCGUAACAUCUCAGGAUGGUUUUGCACUCUGUUUUCCACUCGAAUUCAACCUCUUUUUUCAGGAGCUUGUAAAAAGGUAAUCCGUGCUGGGCAGAUCUUGCAAUGAAGUGGGACAGCGCUGCCAACGUACCGUUGAGCUUCUUCUCCCACUACAACAAUUGAUAAUUCAAGGCAAUCAAUCCACAUCCACCAAUGCUUUUAUGGAAGGCCACAACCACAUCAAAUUGAGAAUAAUUGAAGGGUUCAUGGAUCUAGAAUAAAGAAUAGCUAACAAUAUUUCCAAAUUUUGUUAAUUAAUGAUAAAUCUUAUAUUAUCAAUGUGUUUUUGUUGUGUUC